rnacentral:rRNA from 1 species
UACCUCAAGUCAAGUAAGAAUACCCGCUGAACUUAAGCAUAUCAAUAAGCGGAGGAAAAGAAACUAACUAGGAUUCCCUUAGUAACGGCGAGUGAACUGGGAAAAGCUCAAAUUUUAAAUCACCUCGGUGAAUUGUAAUUUGAAGAAAGUGUUUUGACUUUUCAGUUUAAUCUAAAUCCUUUGGGAUGAGGUAUCAUAGAGGGUGAGAAUCCCGUUCUUGAUUAAACCUCGGAUUGCACUAAAUUCACUUUCCAAGAGUCGAGUUGUUUGGGAUUGCAGCUCCAAAUGGGUGGUAAAUUUCACCUAAGGCUAAAUAUAUGCAAGAGACCGAUAGCGAACAAGUACCGUGAGGGAAAGAUGAAAAGUACUUUGAAAAGAGAGUUAAACAGUACGUGAAAUUGUUGAAAGGGAAACGAUUGAAGUCAGUCAUGCUAGUGAGGAAUCAACUUGGUGGUUUACUUCCUUGUGCAUUUUCUCGCUUGGCAGGUUAGCAUCAAUUUUGGUUGUCAUCAAAGAAUUGGGGGGAAUGUGACUUUUCUUUGGUAAAGUGUUAUAGACCCUGAUUGAUGUGGCGACUGGGAUUGAGGUUUGCAGCGGAUGCCUCUUGUGGCUAGUCACCUGUCUUCUGACCGUCACCUCGUUUUUGACAGCUUGCUGAUGAUUGCGGGAUUUGGCGAUCUAGGAGUUAGAGUGAACAUAAAUUCGCUAAGGAUGCUGACGUAAUGGCUUUAAACGACCCGUCUUGAAACACGGACCAAGGAGUCUAACAUAUGUGCGAGUGUUUGGGUGAUAAAACCCGGAACGCGUAAUGAAAGUGAUUCUGGUGGGAACCCCUCRRGGUGCACCAUCGACCGAUCAGGAUAUUCUUUGAUAGAUUUGAGUGAGAGCACAUUUGUUGGGACCCARGAUGGUGAACUAUGCCUGAAUAGGGUGAAGCCAGAGGAAACUCUGGU